rfam:Canis lupus familiaris chromosome 9, whole genome shotgun sequence.
AGCUUUGCGCAGUGGCAGUAUCGUAUCCAAUGAGGUUUAUCUGAGGUGCAAUUAUUGCUAAUUAAAAUGUUUUAUUUUAAAUAUAUUUUAUAUGUACAUAUGAUAUAUUGUAAAUAUAUGUCCAUUUGAAUCACCCAAA